rnacentral:rRNA from 1 species
GUGUCAGCCGCCGCGGUAAAACGUAGGACGCGAGCGUUAUCCGGAGUUACUGGGCGUAAAGGGCGGGCAGGCGGCCUGGCAAGAUGGGCGUGAAAUCUCCCGGCUCAACCGGGAGGGGCCGCUCGUGACUGCGAGGCUGGAGGGUGACAGAGGCGCGUGGAAUUCCGGGUGGAGUGGUGAAAUGCGUAGAGAUCCGGAGGAACACCAGAGGCGAAGGCGGCGCGCUGGGUCACAACUGACGCUGAACCGCGAAAGCCAGGGCAGCGAACGGGAUUAGAUACCCCCGUAGUCC